GCUUGACUGCGAGACCUACAAGUCGAGCAGGGACGAAAGUCGGGCUUAGUGAUCCGGUGGUUCCGCAUGGAAGGGCCAUCGCUCAACGGAUAAAAGCUACCCCGGGGAUAACAGGCUUAUCUCCCCCAAGAGUCCACAUCGACGGGGAGGUUUGGCACCUCGAUGUCGGCUCAUCGCAUCCUGGGGCUGUAGUCGGUCCCAAGGGUUGGGCUGUUCGCCCAUUAAAGCGGUACGCGAGCUGGGUUCAGAACGUCGUGAGACAGUUCGGUCCCUAUCCGUCGCGGGCGCAGGAAAUUUGAGAGGAGCUGUCCUUAGUACGAGAGGACCGGGAUGGACGCACCGCUGGUGUACCAGUUGUUCUGCCAAGGGCAUCGCUGGGUAGCUAUGUGCGGACGGGAUAAGUGCUGAAAGCAUCUAAGCAUGAAGCCCCCCUCAAGAUGAGAUUUCCCAUUCCGCAAGGAAGUAAGAUCCCUGAAAGAUGAUCAGGUUGAUAGGUCUGAGGUGGAAGUGUGGCGACACAUGGAGCUGACAGAUACUAAUCGAUCGAGGACUUAACCACAUUU
rnacentral:rRNA from 1 species